rnacentral:tRNA from 1 species
UAGCUCAGUUGGUAGAGCUUGGUGCUUGCAACUCCAGGACAGUGGGUUCAAUUCCCAG